AGAGUUUGAUCCUGGCUCAGGAUGAACGCUGGCGGCGUGCCUAACACUUGCAAGUCGAGCGAGAAUUAAUGGACUAGAGACUUCGGUCAAAGGAAAGUUGAGGAAAGCGGCGGAAACCUGCCCCAUAYUAAGGGAUAGCCACUGGAAACGGUGAUUAAUACCCUAUAAAGCAGCGAGUUCGCAUGAACUUGCUGCCAAAGAUUUAUCGGUAUGGGAUGGGCCCGCGUCUGAUUAGCCAGUUGGUGGGGUAAUGGCCUACCAAGGCGACGAUGGUUAGCUGGUCUGAGAGGAUGAUCAGCCACACUGGAACUGAGACACAGUCCAGACUCCUACGGGAGGCAGCAGUGGGGAAUCUUGCGCAAUGGGCGAAAGCCUGACGCAGCAACGCCGCGUGGGUGAUGAAGGCCUUCGGGUCGUAAAGCCCUGUCGGAAGGAACGAAUUCUCUCAGGGUGAACAAUCCUGGGAGGUGACGGUACCUUCAAAGGAAGCACCGGSUAACUCCGUGCCAGCAGCCGCGGUAAU
rnacentral:rRNA from 2 species